GUCGCGAUGGCCGAGUGGUUAAGGCGUUGGAACGGAAUUCCAAUGGGACAUUCCUGCGCAGGUUCGAAUCCUGCUCGCGACG